AUUGCACGCUGGCGGCAGGCCUAACACAUGCAAGUCGAACGAGUGGCGGACGGGUGAGUAAUGUCUGGGAAACUGCCCGAUGGAGGGGGAUAACUACUGGAAACGGUAGCUAAUACCGCAUACCAUCGGAUGUGCCCAGAUGGGAUUAGCUAGUAGGUGGGGUAACGGCUCACCUAGGCGACGAUCCCUAGCUGGUAGGAGAGGAUGACCAGUCACACGGGAACUGAGACACGGUCCAGACGCCGACGUGAGGCAGAAGUGGGGAAUAGUGCACAAUGGGCGCAAGCCUGAUGCAGCCAUGCCGCGUGUAUGAAGAAGGCCUUCGGGUUGUAAAGUACUUGCAGCGAGGAGGCGUUACGCGCAGAAGAAGCACCGGCUAACUCCGUGCCAGCAGCCGCGGUAAUUC
rnacentral:rRNA from 1 species